CUCCUCUAUCUUUUCCAGAGAUUAAAAGUUGCAGUCUUUCAUUAAUGAUGGGCUCAACUCUGUGAUUGAUAUCUCUACUGAAAAUGGAGACAUCUUCCUUGAAGGAUUACUAGUAAAUGGCUGGCCUUCAAAAUUGGUUUUUGGCCAGUCGUCACGUAGAAAAAUCAGUAGCCACAUGGACCUUUAAUUUGAUGCUAUAUUCACCCAAAGAAGAUUUGAGGGCGUCUGCAUGUGACUCUGGGGUGCUAUUCUCUCAUUUGAAAAUAAG